UACGGGGGGGGCAAGCGUUGUUCGGAAUUACUGGGCGUAAAGAGCUCGUAGGCGGCUUGUCGCGUCGACUGUGAAAACCCGCGGCUCAACUGCGGGCCUGCAGCCGAUACGGGCAGGCUAGAGUUCGGUAGGGGAGACUGGAAUUCCUGGUGUAGCGGUGAAAUGCGCAGAUAUCAGGAAGAACACCCGUGGCUAAGGCGGUUCUCUAGUACGGUACUGACGCUGAGACGCGAAAGCGUGGGGAGCGAACAGG
rnacentral:rRNA from 1 species